UUGUAAUUGCAGAGGCAGGACGAAACACAGAAUGCAGAUGUCUUUUUUAUCAGCUGUUAAGGAGGGGGAACCCCACCUUAGUGUCAAGACUCCUCAAUUUCCACACGUGUAAAACACAGACUGAUGAGACCACCACCCCCGCUCCACCUCCACCAUUUCCUCAGAGUUUCUCUCCCACCGGACAGUCGCUGCCAAAGAAGAAGAUUGCCACAGCGCCCACAUGAUGUCACAUGCAGAGCCUGACCUGUCAGCCAACACUCACCUCUGCUUAUAAUCAACAGUCAAUAUAUUGUGUGUGGCAAUGAUAUAUUUUGUAUAUAUCUUGUAUUGUUAAUAGUAUUUCGGUAAUGUUAUAUAGUUAUAGUUAUAAAGAAAAAAAUACUGGUAUUGUUACAUCCUCGAUCCUUGAUGCAUUGAGUGAUAAUGUUCAUAUUAUUGCCCGACAGUGCUAUUGCAAUUUACACGCCACUAGGGAUGACACCUUGAUACUGUCCAUGUGGAUCUGGGAACUGGUCACAUAUUUUUCCAGACACAACAACUAGGGAUAACAACUGUGACCCUGUCCUACUGCUCUGUAUUGCUACACAACAAACUGUCUGUAAGCUGCAUAGCUGAACUGCUUGUUGAUCUCCCCUGGAUCUGGAUCAUCAGCCACUGCCCGGAUGUCAUUCCAGAUGUGUCUGGCAAUGUGCAGGACCCCCUUCCUGCAAAAUACAGUCCAAGUCAAAAGUUUUGACACACUUUCCCAAACUUUUGACUGGUACUGCAAAUGACUGCAUGUGUGGCAGCAUGGAAACGCAGGAGUUGUGAUGCUGUGAUGUUCUUUCCACAUUUUGGACAUUUCUGGCUAAUGCACCUGGUAGGAUGACCUGUAACCGGAGGGCCCGGUUGAGGAGCAUCUGCUGAUGUCAUUUUUAAUGUAUGAAACACCAGUUUUGGGUCACAGAGCUCAGACAGAGUGAUGUGAUGUGACUGUUCCAAGUCCAGUUCUUGAAUUCUGGCCUGUGCAGCAACAGAUAACAAACACAAUUAGAUAUUAUAAUAGAACAGAGCUUUAUUGAAUUUUGUAUUGGUGGUAUUGGUCAGAAAAGAAAAAAAAACAGAAAUAAUUUGCUACUAUAGAUACCUGCUCAUCCACACCUGCUUUCCCUCUUCCACAACUUCCUCUGCCUCACCUCUCCCCAGAUUACCUACUCCAGCUUUAAUGGCAAAAGGUCAGCCACUGAUGUUGGUUGAUAAUCUCUUCUAGUUCAUCCCCUCUAGUUGUUGGAUGGGGUUCAGGUCAGGGCUCUGUGCACAGCAUUCGAGUUCAUCCUCACUAAAGUUGGAGAACCAUAAGAGAACCACAAGAAAGAAAUUAUUUUU